rnacentral:tRNA from 1 species
GCGAUGAGAUAGUCCUACCCCAUGACGAAAGUCAUGGAAGGUGAAUCCGUAGGUCGCAGGUUCGAAUCCUGCAGGGCGCA